rnacentral:rRNA from 1 species
UUUUCCUACGGGACGCAGCAGUAGGGAAUCUUCCACAAUGGACGAAAGUCUGAUGGAGCAACGCCGCGUGAGUGAAGAAGGGUUUCGGCUCGUAAAGCUCUGUUGGUAGUGAAGAAAGAUAGAGGUAGUAACUGGCCUUUAUUUGACGGUAAUUACUUAGAAAGUCACGGCUAACUACGUGCCAGCAGCCGCGGUAAUACAUAGGGAGCAAGCGUUAUCCGGAUUUAUUGGGUGUAAAGGGUGCGUAGACGGGAAAUUAAGUUAGUUGUGAAAUCCCUCGGCUUAACUGAGGAACUGCAACUAAA